ACGACGAAAAAGUACUUGCUUUGUAUCGAUACCAGUAUCGCCGCUGAUUAUCGAUAUGUAUGCCUCAAAAGUGGACAGUGCCGAUUUAUUUAUUUUAUUUCACGAAUAGCUGUCGUUAUUUGUGGAGCAUAAGUGUCGUCAGAAAAUGUUUUCCAAAAGUAUCCACAAAACCCACGAGUACCCACAAAACAUAAUUGUGGCUAAACGUGUUUUUUUUUUUUUAGUUGAUUCUCUUCUACACACGUACACCAUUUACCGAUUCUAACUGAAAGCAGCAUGUGCAAAUUAUCUAAGAAGUGGAAGAAAUUCAUAGAUUACUGCAAUGUAGCAACAGGUUGCAAUAUGGCGUACUUCAAUGCUAGCGUCUGCACGUGGAAACGCUCAAAUGACCAAUAACUUAUCGGAGCGAAUGCAUGUACAUAUGCGCAGAUGUGUGAAUGCCAUACGCACACAUACACCCACACACGCCUGUGGAUAUAUGUUUAUGUACAUUAAGUACAGUUCUUUUAUUUUCUAGGAAUUUGUUUCCAAUUUCUCAGCUAGAGUGCCACUAGCUGAAAUUUCAACGCAAGAACUGUUUGAAGUUGGAUUUGAAAUGCGAGCUCGAGCAUAAACAAGAUUCCCAGCUUUUUUGUUUGGAUAAAACGAAGCUGGGAAACAGCGACGCGGCAACCAACAUUGAUGGCAAAAUAGUCCAAUCAGCAAAAAAAGAGAAAGACUGCUGGCAUACGUGACAAUUAAAUAACUCUAAAUGGCGGCGGUCUCCCGGUGUCAUUGCCGGUUCACGCCAUAUAUUCGCUUAUUGCAGAGAACUAAAAUAGCACUGUGCUCUUUGCUCUCUCGUUUUGUUAAACUGGGGGUGAAAGUGCGCAGGGACCUACCAAAAAAGAAACGGAAGAAGUGUUGGCAAAAAUGCUACUAUUGCAAACCAACGUGUGUUCUAUGUUAUGAAAUUCCAAAUAGCUGAACUUGAAAUGACAAGCGCCACACUAUCAUGAGUUGAUAAGACCAAUGCGUAAAUUCUGAAUGUACAAUCAAGAAAUUUUGCAUAAUCAGCUGAUAGAUAGCUAUAAAUUGCACGAACUACACGACAAGACACGUAGGAGUGAUACAAUAAUAUGGCCAAAGAUAUCUAUAUCUAUAUAUAUAUAUAGAUAUGAGAAUCUCUAUGCGUAACAGUGGAGAAUGUUCUCUAAAUGCAAUUUUUAAAUUGUUCGAUUACAUAAGAAACAACGAGUAUAUAUCAUAAACAAACACCUGAAAACUUAGCAGUUUGGCAACGUUGCCACCGCAAUGCAACCGUUUCUAACCACUCUGCUAAUUCGCACUAAUUGUAUAAUAUCUUACCCCAUCCCAU